rnacentral:rRNA from 1 species
CAGCUAGUUGGCGAGGUAACGGCUCACCAAGGCAACGACGGGUAGCUGGUCUGAGAGGAUGGCCAGCCACAUUGGGACUGAGAUACGGCCCAGACUCCUACGGGAGGCAGCAGUGGGGAAUCUUGCGCAAUGGCCUAACGGCUGACGCAGCGACGCCGCGUGUGGGAUGAAGCUCCUCGGAGUGUAAACCACUGUUGCCCGGGACGAAUAGCUCGAUUAAUCGAGCCUGACGGUACCGGGUGAGGAAGCACCGGCUAACUCCGUGCCAGCAGCCGCGGUAAUACGGGGGGUGCGAGCGUUGUCCGGAAUCACUGGGCGUAAAGGGCGCGUAGGUGGUUUGAUAAGGGUGUGGUGAAAGUCCGGGGCUCAACCCCGGAUCUGCCGUGCCGACUGUCAAACUCGAGGGCUGUAGAGGCAGACGGAAUUCCGGGUGUAGCGGUGGAAUGCGUAGAGAUCCGGAGGAAGACCGGUGGCGAAGGCGGUCUGCUGGGCAGUUUCUGACCCUGAUGCGCGACAACGUGGGGAGCAAACCAGAUUAGA